rnacentral:sRNA from 1 species
UCUCAUGAUUGUCCAUGAUGAUGAGGU